rnacentral:rRNA from 1 species
GACGAAGGAUGCAAGCGUUAUCCGGAUUCAUUGGGUUUAAAGGGAGCGUAGGCGGAUUGGUAAGUCAGUGGUGAAAUCUGUGGGCUUAACCCACAAACUGCCAUUGAUACUGCUGAUCUAGAGUACAGUUGCCGUUGGCGGAAUAUGACAUGUAGUGGUGAAAUACUUAGAUAUGUCAUAGAACACCGAUUGCGAAGGCAGCUAACGAAGCUGUAACCGACGCUGAGGCUCGAAAGUGCGGGGAUCAAACAGG